CUCUCUCUCUGCACCUUCACCCCCACAUCUUCUUCUUCUUCUCUUUCUCUCUCCUCUCUUCCUCUUUCUCUCUCUACCGCUUCUAAUGGCGGUCAACGACCCGAUUGCUCUAUCGCCACACCUCUGGACAACUUCUUUUCACUGAUUUUCUACUCUACAGUGGUUUUCCGGUAGGAGUUUUUCUGCUUGUCAAGUGCUCUUUAGGUUAUGGGAAGGAUGGGAGGUCGGCAAAGGACUUACAGCGCCAAUUCCACCGAUUAUAAGCUUCUUGAAGAGAUUGGUUAUGGUGCUAGUGCCACGGUUUUUCGAGCGAUCUAUACUCCGUCCAAUGAAGUUGUUGCCAUUAAGUGUUUGGAUCUUGAUCGCUGUAAUAGUAAUCUAGAUGAUAUACGUAGGGAGGCUCAAACAAUGAGUUUGAUAGAUCAUCCAAACCUCGUAAGGGCUUAUUGUUCAUUUGUUGUUGACCGAAACCUUUGGGUUGUCAUGCCAUUCAUGGCAGAGGGUUCUUGUUUGCACCUAAUUAAGACAGCAUACUCAGAUGGCUUUGAAGAGGUUGCUAUUGGUUCUGUCCUGAAAGAAACUCUUAAAGCCUUGGAGUACCUUCAUCGACAAGGACACAUACAUCGGGAUGUGAAGGCUGGAAAUAUACUACUCGAUGGUAAUGGGGCUGUGAAGCUUGCUGAUUUUGGUGUUUCAGCUUGCAUGUUUGAUACAGGUGAUAGACAGCGCUCCAGAAAUACCUUUGUGGGAACCCCAUGCUGGAUGGCGCCCGAGGUAUUGCAACCAGGAACGGGAUAUAAUUCCAAGGCCGAUAUUUGGUCUUUUGGUAUUACAGCAUUGGAGUUGGCUCAUGGUCAUGCACCAUUUUCAAAAUAUCCUCCAAUGAAGGUGCUUCUUAUGACCAUACAAAAUGCUCCUCCUGGGCUGGAUUAUGAUAGGGAUAAAAAGUUCUCUAAGUCUUUUAAAGAAAUGGUUGCAAUGUGCCUGGUGAAAGAUCAAUCCAAGAGGCCAACAGCUGAGAAACUUUUAAAGCACUCCUUUUUCAAGAAUGCUAAGCCUCCAGAGCUUUCUUUGAAGAAAUUAUUUGCUGACUUGCCUCCUCUUUCACUUCGUGUGAAGGACCUGCUGCUUAAAGAUGCUGCCCAGCUAGCCUUAAAGAAAAUGCCUUCAGCAGAGCAAGAAGCAUUAUCACAGAGUGAGUACCAGCGAGGAGUUAGCGCAUGGAAAUUUGAUGUUGAGGAUUUGAAAGCCCAAGCUUCCCUGGUGAAUGAUGAUAUGGAAGAGAUGAUGGACGAGGAGGAGAAUAUAAAUACUUGUCGUGUUAAGGAUGCCUUUUGUUCUCAAUCUAGUUUGAGGAAUUUCAGUUCAUGUAAUGAAUCAUCUCAGGAUGAACAUGGAGUAGGGGCAAGUGGUCAGGGGUUGCCAAAAGCGGAGUGCUUGAACAAAAAGGGAAACUUUAUGGAAGGUGAUAUGCUGAAAGCUGGGUUCCAAGAAACAACUGGAUGGAAGAGAAAUGGAACUAGCACUGAAACAGAAGCUUCUACAUCUGGCCAAGACAGUGUACAAGGCAAAACCAAAACCCAAAUGCCAAAAGGUCGUCAAACUCAAAGUGGUCCACUUCUACCUGGUACUGUGCUUAGUCAUUCUUUAUCAGAAAGAGUGCGAGGAUCUGAUAGGUUUGAAUCUGAAAUUCAACCAUCUACUGAAAAAAAUCGUCGAGAAUCACGGCAAGCUCCAAGCUUCAGUGGUCCACUAAUGCUGCCAAACCGUGCCUCAGCAAACAGCCUAUCAGCUCCCAUAAAACCUUCUGGAGGGUAUAGAGAUUCAAUGGAUGACAAAUCAAAAGCUAAUCUUGUGCAAAUUAAGGGGCGUUUUUCAGUGACGUCAGAGAACCUAGAUCUCGUAAAGGAUAUUCCAUUGAGCAUGGUUUCACGACGGUCUGCACAGAACUCACCUCUACGAAAGUCGGCUAGUGUUGGUGAUUGGAUAUUUGAUUCCAAGCAGUCUGUCAGCCAACCCCCCAAGGAGGCUUGCAACAUCAACAUGCCCACAUCAAUUCUUAUGCCUCAUCUUCAGAAUCUUUUCCAUCAGACCUCAAUUCAACAGGAUCUUAUAGUGAACUUAUUGAAUAGCUUACAAACAGCAGACGUGGUUGAUGCUACUCAAAAUGGAAAGUUGCCUCCAUUGCCUCGAAGUUUGGAGAAUAAUGGAAGUGCCGAAACAGCAGCGGUUGAGAGAGAGCGUUUACUGAUGCGUAAAGUCUCUGAACUUCAAGCUAGAAUGACGCAUUUGACUUAUGAGUUGACUUCUGAAAAGUUGAAAUACAUACAAUUACAAGAGCAGUUCAACUCAGCAUCUGGCCAGGAAGAAAACGAGAUCAAGAGGGAAGAGAACGUCUGAAAGGGCACGUCCCGUGCGACGAAUGCUGUAAAGUACGCCACUAUAUACAUCUGGGAGAGAGCAAUAAUUAAGCAGUAAAUUGUUUUUGGACAUUCUACUCUUUCGAUAAUGUCGAUUGUUGGCGUGUUGAUAAGCUCUGUCGCUGAGACAAAGCCAGCAAUCAAUUUUCUCCAUCUGGUUCUUCAAGAGUUGGCAUAAUUCAAGAUCAGUUGAGAUCCCUGAUCCAGAGUGGCCAUCAUUGCCAAAAAAACUCUCAUAUAUUGCUCAGUGUGGCUUCUUCGUACAUUUAUCAUUGUAGAUCUGUAAUUUACUCGUACCAAAAGAUGCCUCAAAGCAUACGGCCACGAAACAGAUGAGGGCAGGAUUACUGGUAAUUCAAAUCUUUGGCUUUCACCUUUUAGUUGAGGGUAUAUAUCUUAAUCAACUUAGCUAUGCUUAGAUCGAUUACGUCAUAUGUAUUAAUAUAUAGUUGUGUUGUCAUUCAGCUUUGUCAAAACACUUGAAUUUGUUCGGUAUGGAAACUCUUUAAACAAUUAUUUUACUAA